rnacentral:lncRNA from 1 species
CUCAGCCUCCCGAGUAGCUAGGAUUACAGACAUGCACCACCACGCUCAGGAAAUUUUUGUAUUUUUAGUAGAGAUGGGGUUUCACCAUGUUGGCCAGGAUGGUCUCGAUCUCUUGACCUCAUGAUCUGCCCGCCUCUGCCUCCCAAAGUGCUGGAAUUACAGACAUGAGCCACUGCGCCCGGCCAGAACACAGCCUAUUAUUCGUUACCACAGAGCCCUGAAUGUCAGGCUCCUGGUGACCUUUCCACCCUCAUUGCACAUUUUGGUAAUGGCAUCAUCUUGCCUCUGAGGGUUAAGAGUGCUACAUGGUCUCUGCCGUUUUGGGAUCCUCUCUUCUCCGUGGACACUAGGGAGGCCAGUUCUAUAGCAGCCUCCCGUCAUCAAUCCUGUACUGCAGAUGAUGACCACAACCGGAUUUGGCAACGCCGCCGGGGCUUCCUUCACUGGUGCAUGUCUUACAGUCUUCACAAGCAGAGUCCUCUGGCGCUCCCUGGGAACAUACACAGGGAGCCAUUGUUGCUAAAUCUCAAGAUGGCAGCCUAGUAAAGCAUUAGGCACAGCUCAAGCUGCCCUUGUCAUGAUGAAGACUCCUGAGUCACGGGACGGUGCCCCUUCAUUGGUAAAUUCUCCCCCUCCUGGCCUACUAUUCCACCCCUAAUCUUGCCCAGCACACUCCAUCCACCCCCAGGCAUGUGCUCCCAGGUUUGUAGGUGCACGUUAGCAGGAACCUGCAGUUCCCCUCCCUCUCUUCCCUCUCGUCUUCUCCGUAGUCUCUUCUCUCGUAUUUGGCCACAGCCGGGCAAGCCUUCCCAGCUGGCCAUGCAGAGACUUGACCAUCUGCUGUAGGUGGGAUUGUUCUAGCCCACCUUUCAUGAAGGAAGCAGCCUCUCAAGGGUUCCAGGCUUACAGGUAGGAGGGGGCUGUCAUUUCAUCUCCUCCCUUCCCGUGGGCUCCAGGCCUUAUUUCCCAUCCCCAUGGGGAUCUUAAAACCAAGACCUCUGUUCAAUUCCACAAAAACCAUUUGCUCCUAAUUGCCCAGGCUUUCUCUUCCAUUUCCCUGUUUGUUCCAUGGAGUACUUUUACGUUCUUGCAAGCCCAGCUAUGCAUUUCAAAGAAUGUCUGUGGCAUUUAAUCUAGCAUGUUUACAGGCUUCGUUUUCGUUGUUGUUGCUAUUAUUUUCAUAAUAUUAAGUCCUUGAUAUGGUAGGAAGCAGAACUCCUUGUGGUUUCUCUUUGCUUUUAGCUUCUGUCACAAAAAAAGUCAUUUGCUGUUGCAGAACAAAUUGAACUGUGGUUUCCGUGCUAGCAUGUUCCAAACAAUUAAAGUACUUCUUGCCUCUUUCCACCCCCGGAACUUUGGGGGAAUUAAUUUGGGAGUUGGGAGCAGGUAGAAAUUUGUAGUGGGAGGGUCAUAUUAAUGUAGGAUAAAAUCACUGUGAUGUGGGGCAGGGCACAUCCUACUGUGCCCUCCUAACGCCCAUGUAGUCUGCUUUUGAUUGGUACUUUAUCUUUAUUUAUUAUAUCUAUUUAUAAAUAUUUAGUUUUGUUUUCUUCUAGGUCUUUGCAGUUCAUUUUUCCCCUCCUUUGACACAUGUGCAAUCUAUUUUUGUGUGUGGAGUGAGAUAUGAAUCCAACUUUCCUCCCCCAUAUGGCCAGUGAAUAGUCCUGGUUCUACUUCUGAAGACGCUCCUGCUCUUGCCCACUGAGUAUGACACAUCCAUUAUUUCUGGGCAGGCGGUUCUGUUCCACUGACCGGCUGUUCAUCCAUGCAUGGAAUCAGUAGGAGUGUGUUUGGCUGCAAGUAGGAGAAAAAGAACCCCAAACCAGCUACGCCUUAGACAGGUGGUGGGUCACUUUUUCAUGUGUAACUGUGAAUCCAGAAUGGACAAUUUCUGGCAUUGGUUCAGUCACCUAAUGGUGCCACCAGGGACCACACCCUCCCCUUCUCUCUUUCCAUCCAUGCCAUAACCAUGUCUGUCACCUCCUGGGUACAGAUGGCCACUGUAGCACCAGGCCUCUCCUCUGCUCUUGGGACAACGGAGCGAAGUGUGCCAGCAGCAUCUGCCCUUUCAUCGGGAGGGCGAGGUUUCCUAGAGCCCCAGCCGACUUCUGUUCAUGCCUUGCUGGCCAGAGCCAAGGUGUAUUCUGCUUCCUCCAAUUGUAGGGAAAGCUGGAAAAGUGGGUAACUGGACUGUCCUGAGUGACUUAGAGCAAUCGUGAUUACCUUGGGCUGGGUGUGAAGGCAGGAGCUCCAGUCUGAACCGCUGUAGCAUUGCAGUGCCCUGAGAGAAUAUUGUGCCUCAGGGGUACUUGUGCAGGAAAAACCAAACCAAAGCUAGAAUUCCUGGAUGUGGCUGUUUUCACACAGGGCUUGCAUUCCGCCUGUGGGGGGUGUGACACACCCAACCUCCCCCAGCAGGACUGGAUGAUCCAUUUAAACCACACCCCACUUGACCCCACAGGAGAAGGUGGAGAGCACAAUGUGCCUCAGGGAGCCCAACUGAGUGAGGUGGGUGGCAGAGGGUGGUAUACAGAAUGACACUUGUGAUAUUACCAUACCAUAAGAAAUCUAUAUUUGGUCUCUGCUCCUGGUUCUUGGCACACAGCCUCUAAAACCCUUGGAAUCUCUGGCGUGGUAAGAGUGCCUUUAGUAUGCUCAUCAGAUGACUGGUGGUUGGGGGCCCCUAGGUAGCCUUAGGAUGGGACUGGUCACCAGAAAGACCAAGGCAGGACUAGCCAGCCCCACCUCCCAACCUCCAGGGAGCGGAGAGGGGCCGAAGGUUGAGUUAAUCACCAAUGGCCAAUGAUGCAAUCAAUUCUGCCUACAAAGUGAAGCUUCCAUAAAACCCAAAAGGACUGGGUUUGGAGAGCUUCCGGGUUGCUGAACACGUGGUGGUGUCCCGAGAAUGGCGCCCAGGGAGGGUGUGGAAUCUCCGCGGCCCCCCUCACAGCCCUGCCCCAUGUGCCCCCUCCAUCUCGCAGUUCAUCUGUGUCCUUUCUAAUCUUCACAAUAAACUAUAACUGUAAGUAAGUGUCUCCCCGAAUUCUGUGAGCAGUCCUAGCCAAUGAAUUGAACCCGAGGAAGAGGUCGUGGGGACCUCUUAGAGGUGAUUGGUCAGAAGCACAGGUCACCACCCAGGGCUUGUGAUUGGCAUCAGAAGCGGGGGCAGUCUUGUGGGACUGAACUCUCACCCUGUGAAAAUCUGACGCUAACUGCAGGUAGGUGGUGUCAGAACUGGGUUAAAUUAUAGGACACCCUGCUGGUGCCCCCUGAGAGCCUCCACCCCCCGCACAUCUGGGCACAGGUGUAUUCUGCGUUGAGUGGUGCGGGAUGUUCAGGAGUGGGGAAACACUCUGCUGUUUCCUGUAUCUUACACAGCAGCUUCGGUCACCCAGAUGUACUCAUGCCCUGCUGAGGCUGUAAAAAUUCCCCACAAAUGUAGUGGCUUAAAAGCACUUAUUAUCUUACAGUUCUGGGGGUCAGAAGUCUGAAGUGGGUCUCACUGGGCUAAGAUGAAGGUGGCAGUGGGGCUGGUUCUUUCUGGAAGCUCUGGGGGUCCCAGAUGCUGGAGGCCUCCCCUCCAUCUUCAAAUCCAGCAGCCUCGCCUUUCCCAGUCUCUCAGCUUCUGUCUGCUUGUCAGCUUCUCUCUUCGGAGGACCCCUGUGAUUCCUUCCAGCCCCUCAGGAUCGUCCCCCACCUCCAGAUGCUGAACUCGGUCUCAGCUGCAAAGUCCCUUUUGCAUAUAAGGUAACACUCACAGGUUCUGUGGGUUAGGACCAAGCUGUUCUCUGUGUUGUCCUAGGUGAGAGGCAACAGCGGAUUCUCCCUGCAGGUGAGGGAGGAAGGGCUCGGGGGCAGGGCAGAGCUGGGAACCUUCCAGAAAGUCCACAGCUCCUUGGGCUCAGGGCAUGACUGUCCCCUCAGCUCUGUUGUGAACUGGGCCUCCCUGCAGGGCCCUCAGCCUGGUUCCUGUUUAAAGUCUGCCCAGGUCUCAGUCAGAGCUCGGUCUCUGCCCUCCAGCCACACCCGAUUAGCCCCACUUGGAAAACCUCGAUGGUCCCAGGCUGGGUCUCCCAGGGCCUCAGCCCACCCCAGCAGCCUCUUGGCAGCUCUCCCACCUCUACCUGGCCCUCCUCAUCAAGGCUGGGUGAGCUUUCUAAGGUGGAAAUCUGAGUAGGCGGUACCUCCUUUAUCUAAAACCCUGUGAUGACUGGGUUUUGUGCUAAAGCCCCCCCAACAUCCUGGCUUUGCCGAGGGGCCUUUCAGGAGAUGGAGCUCUGAUUCUCACUUCAUCCCCCAGAGUGCAGAGAGGAUUGCCUUCCUCAUCAUCCCAGGUCACUGUCACCUCUUGGGCUUUACAGGGUGGCUCCUCCUGCCUGACACCCUCCUCCCACCCUUCAUCCACCAACUCCUGUGCAUCUCAGGGCCCGCUUGGCUGUUACCUCCCCAGGGAAGACUUCAGGACUGGCCAGGUUCCUGUGGAUGCAACAGAAACAGAUUCUGCUCUCAGGCUUGGGUCUACCCGAGUCAUUGCCGCCGUCUCUGCUACACCGGCUGGGCGCUCCCGUGGGCAUCCGAAGCCCUUGGCACAUAUAUCAGUCCUGGCCCCGACUGCAACCACAGUCCUCAAUGGCUGACUUGCCCGUCGCCUCCCUGCCCCGCCUGCUCCUGGUGACCAGGACCCCACCCUAUUCAGUUGACCACUGUGGGUCAGCAUAGCGCCCAGCCAUGACUGCUCAAAGACCAUGGCACGCAGCAGGGACUUGAGGGGCAGCUCCAAACUCCAGAACGCGAAGAACUCGGUGGUUCCCCACAAGGCAGAUGGAGGGGAAACUGAGGCUGGGAAGCUGAGUCCUUUCUGCCUGGGGCUUCCUCUCUCAAGAAAGGAGGCCGGUGGCGCACAUUUGGAAAAGUGUCUAGCAGUAUCAGCAAAGCUAAACAGAUGCUCACCCCCUGGCCCAGCAAAUCCACCAUGGGUCACACCUGCUGCAAUAAUGAAUUGGGAGUGCAUUAGGCUGAGAUGACGCCAAUACCUUCGGUUCUGACAGAAGCAAACGGAAACCCAACGCAGAGGGAAUGGUCCCAGUCUAGGAAACCAAGAGACUCAAGCAUAACCAAUGAGAAACUGCCAAGUAACCUCUAACUAGGGACUUUCCACUUUAAUUAACCAAAUGUUUUCUUUGUCUUGCUUUUGCAAGCCUCUUAUAAAAGUUUUCCCCUGAUGGCCCCUCGGCAGAGCCUGGGUAGCUCUAGAUCCAGUGCUGCUCAAUUCAUGAACUGCUGAACGUUCAAAUAAACUUAUUGCAAAUUUUAAUGUGCUCAAGUCUGUCUAACAUACCCAGUGGGAAUGAGUGUGGAUGUCCCCCAAGACAUUAUUCCAUGAUCGUCGAGAGAAGCCUUACUUAAGACAGCCUCGAACUGGAAUCACCCCAGUGAAACCCUUUAAGAACUCUGGACACCAAAGCUCGGGAGAGCUUCCAGGCUGGUGAGCACAUGGAUGUCACAGGUAGCUGAGCUGCCUGGUUCCCCAGAGAGAGGACAUGAGGCUCGGUGUUCAGGACUCCCCUUGACCUUGCCCCGCACAUCUCUGCAUCUGGCCGGUGCUGAUCUGUAUAUUUUAUAACAAAACUGUUAUCAUAAGUACAGUGCUUCCCUGAGUUCUGUGAGUUGUUGUAGCAAUUUGUUGAACCUGAGGGGUUUGUGGGAACUCCUGAAUUGGUAGCCAGUCAAAAGUGCAGGUGGCCUGGGGACCCCUGAACUUGUAGCUGGUAUCUGAAGUGGGGGCCGUCUUGUUGGGAACCACAUCCUUAAGCCCGUGGAGUCUGACGCUAACUCUAGGCGGUUGUCAGAACUGAAUUACCAUCCGCCAGUCAGGGUUGAAACAGAAUAUUCAGAAACCCCAUGUAGCUGAGCAGAAAUGUGCUUGAGAAGGGAACCCCACAUCUGUUUAGAAAAUGGUUUUAACACAGAGACAUCCAGAAUUGAGUCUGGCAAUGAUGAAGUAGAUCAAAAUGACAGCAUUUAUGUUUUUGUGCUAAGUUCAGAAAUACACAUCUUUGGCAUUUUAAGAACUUACAAAGUUUAAGAGAAUUUGGCAUAUUUGAGUCUUCACAUCAGACGUGUGAUUCUAAUUUUAAAUGUGCUCUUGAGUCAUUGAUUUCUGAGCCCUUCAAACAACCCAUGAGCUCAACCCAUGAUCCCUUCAACCAACCAGCCUGAUGCUAGUAAUCAGCAUCUGUGAUUGCAAGCUGAAAUCUUACUAAGUUGGUAAACAGUUUUUGAAUAUUUAAAAAUCACCAUAAUUAUACGUUUAAUGUAUUUGAUUUAUGAGAAUCACGUAAGGACUUGGGAAGAUUUGUUAGUCAGAUAAUUGAAAAACUUAGAAAAUGGAAUAUAAUAAAUUUUGACUGCAGCUUAAAAUGUUUAAAGGAAUUUAAAUUAACUAAG